AUGCUCACUUGGAUAGCACAUAUACUGAAGUUGGAAUGAUGAGGACAAGAUCUGCAUAGCCCCAUACAAGGAUGACAUGCAAAUCCACAAAGCAUUGCACAGGUCU
rnacentral:snRNA from 1 species